CCUUCGAUAGCUCAGUUGGUAGAGCGGUGGACUGUAGAGAGAGAGAUGACGCAGAAUGUAGUAAUCCAUAGGUCACUGGUUCAAAUCCGGUUCGAAGGA
rnacentral:tRNA from 3 species